AUUGAACGCUGGCGGCAGGCCUAACACAUGCAAGUCGAGCGAGCGGCGGACGGGUGAGUAAUGUCUGGGGACUGCCCGAUAGAGGGGGAUAACUACUGGAAACGGUGGCUAAUACCGCAUACUAUCGGAUAACCCAUAUGGGAUUAGCUAGUAGGUGGGGUAAAGGCUCACUUAGGCGACGAUCUCUAGCUGGUCGGAGAGGAUGAUCAGCCGACCUGGGACUGAGACACGGACCAGACUCCUACGGAGGCAGCAGUGGGGAAUAUUGCACAAUGGGCGCAAGCCGGAUGCAGCCAUGCCGCGUGGAUGAAGAAGGCCUUAGGGUUGUAAAGUACUUUCAGCGGGGAGGCGUUACCCGCAGAAGAAGCACCGGCUAACUCCGUGCCAGCCGCCGCGGUAAUUC
rnacentral:rRNA from 1 species